CCUCUUCCGUGCGGGCCCGAGUCGCCCUAUAUUCAAUGCGCCUUCGCAAGAAGGCUAUGGCGAUAAACAGGCUUCGUAAUAAACCAUCCGGACCCGGGGGCGGUACCCGGCGCCUCCACCCCAGCCCGUACCGACGCGGGCUGCGGCGGGGGCGAAACAGGAUCGACGGGGGCGUAAAGGAUGUUCUUUUGCCCGGCAUGAUACCGCCGUUAUCGGGUCAAACCUAUAGUUGCCAACGACAACUAUGCUCCGGUGGCCGUCGCUGCGUAAUGCAGCGCUGGUACUGGGAUUCAAGCCCUAGAGGGUAGCACUUCUAGGCGGGGCUCGGAGGCGCCUGGCAACAGAAGCCUCCACU
rnacentral:tmRNA from 1 species